CUUAACACAUGCAAGUCGAACGAAGAGGAUAAGUCGAGAGCUUGGGCAGGUUUUUUUAUUGACUUAGCGGCGGACGGGUGAGUAACGUGUGGGCAACCUGCCUCAUACAGGGGAAUAAUCACCGGAAACGGUGACUAAUACCGCAUGUGGCGUAUUGAAGGCAUCUUCGAUACGAGAAAGGAGGAAUCCGGUAUGAGAUGGGCCCGCAUCUGAUUAGCUAGUUGGUGAGAUAACAGCCCACCAAGGCGACGAUCAGUAGCCGACCUGAGAGGGUGACCGGCCACAUUGGGACUGAGACACGGCCCAAACUCCUACGGGAGGCAGCAGUGGGGAAUAUUGCACAAUGGGGGGAACCCUGAUGCAGCAACGCCGCGUGAAGGAAGACGGUUUUCGGAUUGUAAACUUCUAUCAAUAGGGAAGAAAGAGAUGACGGUACCUAAAUAAGAAGCCCCGGCUAACUACGUGCCAGCAGCCGCGGUAA
rnacentral:rRNA from 1 species